rnacentral:lncRNA from 1 species
UCCGGGCUCCUCCCAGUCCGAUUGCGUCGUGACCUCGUCCCAACGAGGCGUCCGCCCUGGAAUUCACCCGGGUAGUCACCGCGAUGAGCCAUGCGGCAGUUAUGCAGCUUGAUGAACGUCAGCUUAUCGAUCACAGAUGGACUGUUCACAAAGAUUCGAUUGGAAGAGCAACGUUCAAGGUUUGCUUUACUCUGUGUUCUCUUGAAGAACAAGUAAACUGCACAGAGCAUGGCUACCAAACUGGGACGCAGACAUGGACACAGGCCCCCACUGAGUCCCUUGUGUCUGGACAGGCACACCUGAAAUCUGACAUGAAGUGAGGGUUCUCAGUAGUUGCAGUAUUGUCAAUAAACAGGGAGACUGUGUUUGAAGAGUACUGUGUCCCAUUACUACUGAACAGCAAAUCAAUACCCAUGACCUCGUACUGGAAAAGCGUUUCCAUGGUAACAGCACACAUGGAAAUUAUUCUUUAACAA